AUUGAACGCUGGCGGCAGGCCUAACACAUGCAAGUCGAGCGAGCGGCGGACGGGUGAGUAAUGUCUGGGAAACUGCCCGAUGGAGGGGGAUAACUACUGGAAACGGUAGCUAAUACCGCAUACCAUCAGAUGUGCCCAGAUGGGAUUAGCUAGUAGGUGGGGUAACGGCUCACCUAGGCGACGAUCCCUAGCUGGUCUGAGAGGAUGACCAGCCACAAGGGAAAUGAGCCACGGUCCAGACUCCUACGGGAGGCAGCAGUGGGGAAUAUUGCACAAUGGGCGCAAGCCUGAUGCAGCCAUGCCGCGUGUAUGAAGAAGGCCUUCGGGUGGUAAAGUACUUUCAGCGAGGAGGCGUUACCCGCAGAAGAAGCACCGGCUAACUCCGUGCCAGCAGCCGCGGUAAUUC
rnacentral:rRNA from 1 species